rnacentral:misc_RNA from 1 species
GCAGAAACUUGUAGAGGAGCUCCCAUGCCAGGCCCUUUAGUGUAACAGAGGCAGUCAAUAUCCUUUGGCGUAAUUUUUGCAGUUUCCAGAGCAGACUUAACCAAUGGAAGAAUGUGGUGGAGAUGAUGAUGUGCAGUUUCACGAGGAAGGAAGCCAUGGCCAGGAGGUGUAAUGUAGGUGUGACGUGGGUUUGACAAAAUGUUGCCAUCUAAAGU